AUGUGUAAAUCUCCAUGCUGGCUAAUGCUUAUGAAAUUUUACAGACAUACUCAGAGGUUUCAACAGAAGGAUAGACUCCACUUUUCUCUCGAGCAGCAGCAAGGUCUCACUUCAGACCCUGAAUCUCUUCAAUGUAUUCCUGUAUAAAGAAAACCACAGGAGGACAUGCAGGGCUGGCUGCGGGCACUGGCACCAGCGCUCAGGAGCACACCGAGCUGGCCCGGUGGCAGCAGGGCCUCCUCACCACCUCCUCCCCCGGCGUGACCCCGAUG
rnacentral:lncRNA from 1 species